rnacentral:rRNA from 1 species
GAUGAACGCUAGCGGCGGGCCUAAUACAUGCAAGUCGAACGGGAUUGGAGUAGCAAUAUUCCAUGAGAGUGGCGACCGGGUGCGUAACACGUAUGCAACCUACCUAAUACUGGGGUAUAGCCUCUCGAAAGAGAGAUUAAUCCCCCAUAAUACUAUGAAGAGGCAUCUCUUUAUAUUUAAAGCUUCGGCGGUAUUAGAUGGGCAUGCGUCCUAUUAGCUAGUUGGUGAGGUAAUGGCUCACCAAGGCUACGAUAGGUAGGGGGUCUGAGAGGAUGAUCCCCCACACUGGUACUGAAACACGGACCAGACUCCUACGGGAGGCAGCAGUAGGGAAUAUUGGUCAAUGGACGAAAGUCUGAACCAGCCACGCCGCGUGAAGGAUGAAGGCCCUAUGGGUUGUAAACUUCUUUUGUCAGGGAAAAAACCCCCAUACGUGUAUGGGGCUGAUUGUACCUGGAGAAUAAGGAUCGGCUAACUCCGUGCCAGCAGCCGCGGUAAUACGGAGGAUCCAAGCGUUGUCCGGAUUUAUUGGGUUUAAAGGGUGCGUAGGCGGAUUAUUAAGUCAGUGGUGAAAGCCGGCAGCUCAACUGUCGAACUGCCAUUGAAACUGAUAGUCUAGAAUCUAGUAGAGGUAGGCGGAAUGUAUCAUGUAGCGGUGAAAUGCUUAGAUAUGAUACAGAACACCAAUUGCGAAAGCAGCUUACUAUGCUAGUAUUGACGCUGAGGCACGAAAGCGUGGGGAUCAAACAGGAUUAGAUACCCUGGUAGUCCACGCUGUAAACGUUGAAUACUCGACAUUAGCGAUAUACAGUUAGUGUCCUAGCGAAAGCGUUAAGUAAUCCACCUGGGGAGUACGUUCGCAAGAAUGAAACUCAAAGGAAUUGACGGG